rnacentral:snoRNA from 1 species
AGUCCAUGGUGUGGGCAGCAUCGCAAUAGAUCCUUGUACCUCUCCCAAGUGUCAUAGAUCGACUCAUCAUCAAACUGCACAAAAGAAGAUAUAUCAAUUUCUAAGUUU